AGAAACAAUCAGGAAUUGCUAUAAAAUCACCCAAAGUACACUGUACAUGCGGUGACUCUGCAGUCAACCAGCAUCAUGCUGGUAUCGUCAGAUUAAAAUUCGCGUAAGGUCAUGAGCGGCUCUACUCUUGAGAGCCACUCGGGUGGUUCCGGUGACGCCUUAUGUGUUUCCAAAAACCAAUGCAUACUUUCCCUGAAAUAUGCUCGCGCAGGCCGC
rnacentral:lncRNA from 1 species